AUUGAACGCUGGCGGCAUGCCUUACACAUGCAAGUCGAACGAUAACAGGUCUUCGGAUGCUGACGAGUGGCGAACGGGUGAGUAAUACAUCGGAACGUGCCUAGUAGUGGGGGAUAACUACUCGAAAGAGUGGCUAAUACCGCAUGAGAUCUACGGAUGAAAGCAGGGGAUCGCAAGACCUUGUGCUACUAGAGCGGCCGAUGGCAGAUUAGGUAGUUGGUGGGAUAAAAGCUUACCAAGCCGACGAUCUGUAGCUGGUCCGAGAGGACGAUCAGCCACACUGGGACUGAGAAACGGCCCAGACUCCUACGGGAGGCAGCAGUGGGGAAUUUUGGACAAUGGGCGCAAGCCUGAUCCAGCAAUGCCGCGUGCAGGAUGAAGGCCUUCGGGUUGUAAACUGCUUUUGUACGGAACGAAAAGCCCCGGGUUAAUACCCUGGGGUCAUGACGGUACCGUAAGAAUAAGCGCCGGCUAACUACGUGCCAGCAGCCGCAGUAA
rnacentral:rRNA from 1 species